UAAGGAAUAUUGGUCAAUGGACGCAAGUCUGAACCAGCCAUGCCGCGUGAAGGAUGAAGGUCCUCUGGAUUGUAAACUUCUUUUAUCUGGGACGAAAACGGGAUUUUUAUCUCAAUUGACGGUACCAGAGGAAUAAGCACCGGCUAACUCCGUGCCAGCGGCCGCGGUAAUACGAAGGAUGCAAGCGUUAUCCGGAAUUAUUGGGUUUAAAGGGUGCGUAGGCGGACUAAUAAGUCAGUGGUGAAAGCCUGCAGCUUAACUGCAGAACUGCCAUUGAUACUGUUAGUCUUGAGUACAGUUGAGGGAGGCGGAAUGUGUCAUGUAGCGGUGAAAUGCUUAGAUAUAACACAGAACACCGAUUGCGAAGGCAGCUUGCUAAGCUGUAACUGACGCUGAGGCACGAAAGCGUGGGGAGCAAACA
rnacentral:rRNA from 1 species